rnacentral:rRNA from 1 species
GACGAACGCUGGCGGCGUGCCUAAUACAUGCAAGUCGAGCGAGACUCUUCGGAGUCUAGCGGCGGACGGGUGAGUAACACGUGGGCAACCUGCCUGUAAGACUGGGAUAACACCGGGAAACCGGUGCUAAUACCGGAUAAUCCUUUUCCUCUCAUGAGGAAAAGCUGAAAGUCGGUUUCGGCUGACACUUACAGAUGGGCCCGCGGCGCAUUAGCUAGUUGGUGAGGUAACGGCUCACCAAGGCGACGAUGCGUAGCCGACCUGAGAGGGUGAUCGGCCACACUGGGACUGAGACACGGCCCAGACUCCUACGGGAGGCAGCAGUAGGGAAUCUUCCACAAUGGACGAAAGUCUGAUGGAGCAACGCCGCGUGAGCGAUGAAGGCCUUCGGGUCGUAAAGCUCUGUUGUUAGGGAAGAACAAGUACCGGAGUAACUGCCGGUACCUUGACGGUACCUAACCAGAAAGUCACGGCUAACUACGUGCCAGCAGCCGCAGUAACAC